GAUGAAGAACGUAGCGAUAUGCGAUAAGUAGUGUGAAUUGCAGAAUUCAGUGAAUCAUCGAAUCUUUGAACGCACAUUGCGCCCUUUGGUAUUCCAAAGGGCAUGCCUGUUCGAGCGUCAUUUGUACCCUCAAGCUUUGCUUGGUGUUGGGCGUCUUGUCUCUAGCUUUGCUGGAGACUCGCCUUAAAGUAAUUGGCAGCCGGCCUACUGGUUUCGGAGCGCAGCACAAGUCGCACUCUCUAUCAGCAAAGGUCUAGCAUCCAUUAAGCCUUUUUUUCAACUUUUGACCUCGGAUCAGGUAGGGAUACCCGCUGAACUUAAGCAUAUCAAUAAGCGGAGGA
rnacentral:misc_RNA from 1 species